rnacentral:rRNA from 1 species
UUGGUCAUUUAGAGGAAGUAAAAGUCGUAACAAGGUUUCCGUAGGUGAACCUGCGGAAGGAUCAUUACUGAUUUGCUUAAUUGCACCACAUGUGUUUUUCUUUGAAACAAACUUGCUUUGGCGGUGGGCCCAGCCUGCCGCCAGAGGUCUAAACUUACAACCAAUUUUUUAUCAACUUGUCACACCAGAUUAUUACUAAUAGUCAAAACUUUCAACAACGGAUCUCUUGGUUCUCGCAUCGAUGAAGAACGCAGCGAAACGCGAUACGUAAUAUGAAUUGCAGAUAUUCGUGAAUCAUCGAAUCUUUGAACGCACAUUGCGCCCUCUGGUAUUCCGGAGGGCAUGCCUGUUUGAGCGUCGUUUCUCCCUCAAACCGCUGGGUUUGGUGUUGAGCAAUACGACUUGGGUUUGCUUGAAAGACGGUAGUGGUAAGGCGGGAUCGCUUUGACAAUGGCUUAGGUCUAACCAAAAACAUUGUUUGCGGCGGUAACGUCCACCACGUAUAUCUUCAAACUUUGACCUCAAAUCAGGUAGGACUACCCGCUGAACUUAAGCAUAUCAAUAAGCGGAGGA